rnacentral:rRNA from 1 species
AUUGAACGCUGGCGGCAUGCCUUACACAUGCAAGUCGAACGGUAACGGGCCUUCGGGUGCCGACGAGUGGCGAACGGGUGAGUAAUGUAUCGGAACGUACCUUUCAGUGGGGGAUAACGUAGCGAAAGUUACGCUAAUACCGCAUAUUCUGUGAGCAGGAAAGCAGGGGAUCGCAAGACCUUGCGCUGAUUGAGCGGCCGAUAUCAGAUUAGCUAGUUGGUGAGGUAAAGGCUCACCAAGGCGACGAUCUGUAGCGGGUCUGAGAGGAUGAUCCGCCACACUGGAACUGAGACACGGUCCAGACUCCUACGGGAGGCAGCAGUGGGGAAUUUUGGACAAUGGGGGCAACCCUGAUCCAGCCAUGCCGCGUGAGUG